rnacentral:lncRNA from 1 species
AAGAGAAAGAGAAGAAAGGAAGAAAGGAUGGAAGGAAGAAAGGAAGAGAGAAAGAGAGAGAGAAAGAAAAAUAGAGAAAGAAAGAGAAAGGGAGAAAGAGCGAGAGAGAGAGAGAGAAAGAGAGAGAGAGAGAGAGAGAGAGAGAGAAAGAAAGAAGAAAGAAAGAAAGAAAGAGAGAAAGAAAGAAAGAAAGAAAGAAAGAAAGAAAAGAAAGAAAGAAAAGAAAGAAAAGAAAAGAAAGAAAAUAAAUAAAUCUCACUUGCAAGUGCUCCAGGCGAGUGUAGAGCAGGGUUCUUCUGUGGGAGUUGGAGGAAGCACCAAGAUUUGGUGUUAGGGCCCCUGCCCAGCAGAUGGUGCCAGAGUGAGAGCACAGUUCCUGCCCCACCCAACCAUGUCCUCUCCACAGCUCCAUGGCUGCAUCGACAGGCUCAGAUUCAGAGUGGAAAGUGAUUGGUGGAGGCCCAAUACAUUCAGAUAUUUUCCUUUGGGUACAUGGUUCAGUGGACACCGUGGCCCAGUGUGCCUCAACUCAGAGAAGGACUAAGUUUCUUUCACCCCAUCUCGGGUUCAAUCUCUGGACAAUCAUGUGGCCCAAUGUCUAGAGAGUUUGUCAGGCUCCCUGGGGCCUGAGUGCCCAUUGCUUGUUUGAAGUACAACACUGGACCCAGAAAUCCCAGAAAUUCCAAAACAUGAAGUGUUUUGGAAUCAGGAUGCUGUGAAAUUUGGUUUCUAGAAACUGAGGCCUUUUGUUAUGAAUGCAGCAUAUCAAUGCACUUGUAUACUGGGGGCAGGUCUUAGCCUGUCCCUAUGCCCUUUCACUCUAGGGAUCUCUACAUCCUCCUCUUUCCCACUCCACCUGAGCCACCUACGCCUCUGCGGGGGACCCUUGUGCCAAGAAACCUACUUUAAUCCAGAUCAAGUGAAUGAAGCCUGGGAUUCUGGAUCUCAAGGGUUCCCCCAAAGCCUCUGUCUUCCUUCUGUAGCUGAGCUGCUUCAGCCUCUGUGGGACACCCAUUUGAAGGAACCUGUCUAAAUCCAUGUAAGGU